UACGUAGGGGGCAAGCGUUGUCCGGAAUUAUUGGGCGUAAAGCGCGCGCAGGUGGUUUCUUAAGUCUGAUGUGAAAGCCCACGGCUCAACCGUGGAGGGUCAUUGGAAACUGGGAGACUUGAGUGCAGAAGAGGAAAGUGGAAUUCCAUGUGUAGCGGUGAAAUGCGUAGAGAUAUGGAGGAACACCAGUGGCGAAGGCGACUUUCUGGUCUGUAACUGACACUGAGGCGCGAAAGCGUGGGGAGCAAACAGG
rnacentral:rRNA from 1 species